AUUGAACGCUGGCGGCAGGUCUAACACAUGCAAGUCGAGCGGCAGCGGAAAGUAGCUUGCUACUUUGCCGGCGAGCGGCGGACGGGUGAGUAAUGUCUGGGAAACUGCCCGAUGGAGGGGGAUAACUACUGGAAACGGUGGCUAAUACCGCAUAACGUCUACGGACCAAAGUGGGGGACCUUCGGGCCUCACACCAUAGGAUGUGCCCAGAUGGGAUUAGCUAGUAGGUGGGGGAAUGGCUCACCUAGGCGACGAUCCCUAGCUGGUCUGAGAGGAUGAUCAGCCACACUGGAACUGAGGCACGGUCCAGGCUCCUACGGGAGGCAGCAGUGUGGAAUAUUGCACAAUGGGGGAAACCCUGAUGCAGCCAUGCCGCGUGUGUGAAGAAGGCCUUCGGAUUGUAAAGCACUUUCAGCGAGGAGGAAAGGUUGAUGCCUAAUACGUAUCAACUGUGACGUUACUCGCAGAAGAAGCACCGGCUAACUCCGUGCCAGCCGCCGCAGUAAUAC
rnacentral:rRNA from 1 species